rnacentral:rRNA from 1 species
GAUGAACGCUGGCGGCGUGCCUAAUACAUGCAAGUCGAGCGAACAGAUGAGGAGCUUGCUCCUCUGACGUUAGCGGCGGACGGGUGAGUAACACGUGGAUAACCUACCUAUAAGACUGGGAUAACUUCGGGAAACCGGAUCUAAUACCGAAUAAUAUAUUGAACCGUAUGGUUCAAUAGUGAAAGACGGUUGUGCUGUCACUUAUAGAUGGAUCCGCGCCGCAUUAGCUAGUUGGUAAGGUAACGGCUUACCAAGGCAACGAUGCGUAGCCGACGUGAGAGGGUGAUCGGCCACACUGGAACUGAGACACGGUCCAGACUCCUACGGGAGGCAGCAGUAGGGAAUCUUCCGCAAUGGGCGAAAGCCUGACGGAGCAACGCCGAGUGAGUGAUGAAGGUCUUCGGAUCGUAAAACUCUGUUAUUAGGGAAGAACAAAUGUGUAAGUAACUAUGCACGUCUUGACGGUAACUAAUCAAAAAGCCACGGCUAACUACGUG